UACAGAGGGGGCGAGCGUUGUUCGGAAUUACUGGGCGUAAAGGGCGCGUAGGCGGCCAACUAAGUCAGACGUGAAAUCCCGUCGGCUCAACCGGGGAACUGCGUCUGAUACUGGUGGCUUGAAUUCGGGAGAGGGAUGCGGAAUUCCAGGUGUAGCGGUGAAAUGCGUAGAUAGUCUGGAGGAACACCGGUGGCGAAGGCGGCAUCCUGGACCGAGAUUGACGCGUGACUGGCGUCGAAAGCCAGGGGAGCAACGGG
rnacentral:rRNA from 1 species